UUCCCUCCUCUCUCCCUCCUCCUUUCUUCCUUUGCAUACAACUCAGACAAGGGACUGCUUGGUGGCUGUCCCUUGGCUUCCCCCUGACCCAGCCGGUCAUUUCUCUUUCAUGUGUUCAGCGUGUUCUAACAGAAGAUUUUUUUUUCUUUCAAGCACUGGUGAGGGGAUUUUUUAAAUUAAAAAAUCAUCAAAGCUUAAAUGACUUGCCUGACAUAAAACUUGGACCCAACCUGGAACAGAGGCCUUGGGCCUUUUCAAUUUCCUAUGCUAACCAAAGCCCGGACUGGUCUUUUUUUUUUUUUUUUUUGUCUCUAGUAAUGAAAGGCACACAAGGUAUCGAGUUACUAAAUGGCUUUUAGCCUCUUGAAACUCAAGCGAAGGAAAAUCUCAUUCAUCUGAACUCUGCUAAUAGUGGAAUUUGUUACAAUUCGACCUGGCUAAACUGCACUUUACCAUGGGAUUACCCAGGAAGGCAAGUUGACCAGAGAACAGCUAUGCUAGAAGGCUGCUCAGGACAGAGCUUAGAUGCAAGCCCAGCUAAGAAGUUGUCUUAAAUCACUCAGUGUCUCACUUUCCUAAAUCACCCCUUGCUGAAUCCAGAAGAAGUGUGCCGUCAACGCUGACUUGAUCGAAGGGGAGCCAUUCUUACCCAGAAACCCUUUCAUCGUUAAGUUCUCCUUUGCCCUUGAGAGAAAGAAAAGUUCUCCCAGCACCUGGGAAAAGGAAGCAGGAGAAACUAAGAGGAGCCGUUCAAGGACCUCCUCAGCUGCAGACAGAAGACUCUGUCACAAAAAACAAAGGGGAGAGCAGUUGAAGAAGCCUUCUCUUCUACCCCCAGGCAGACCUGCCUGCUCCCAGCAGCGCUCAGGCAUGAAGGAAGGUUUGCUUGAAGCAGGAAGAUCUGUCAUUUCAAGCACAAAGGAGGUCUGGAACUGCAGGAGACAACUCCUUCCAACUCACCACUUUCUGGUUUCUUCUCGCCGUGCUUGGAACCAGAAAAGGGUUGAAGAAGAGAGGAAAUAAAACUCCACCCAGAGAAAAGUCCGGGAAACAUUCCUGCCUGCAGCAAGACCUGAGUCCAUCAGGGUCAGGCUCCUGCAGUACGGCCCGCCGGAGGGAUCUGUAGCAAACUUAUCUGACCCCCUCUUCCAUCACAUCCCACCCCACCGGCGAGCACAGCUCUGUCCCUGCCUCAGAACUUUGGGCUCCAACGCGUUUAUCAGAGAGUUGGGUUUUCAAGCUCUGUCUCCCCACCGCCGCCGCCGCCGCCGCCACCAUGAACACCCGCCAGAGUUGGCAGUCUGUAAUAUGCAAAAAUCCACCCAGAAAUGGAAGAGGGGACAUUUGCACAAGCUGGGUUGUGUCUACAGAAUUAGAAGGCACAGUUGGACUAAUUUUAGUGCCGAAAAAUUGGAAACACUGGGAAUAAGGCCCGGUGGGGAAAUGUGGGUUCUUGAAGCCGCUCGGAGAAGAGCCAGUGGGGAUUUAGGGGGUGGGUAUCUGGAGCCCCUGACUUGGCUGGAAGCUCAGGGUUGCAGAAGGGUUAAAUGUCCCAUAGGCCCCAGGUUAGAGGCCUGGGGUGGUGGGCUCCCUUGUCCUGGCUUCCCAGAUAUAUCUGCUUUCCUUGUGUCGCCAGCCAU
rnacentral:sRNA from 1 species